rnacentral:rRNA from 1 species
CAAUCUGGCUUCAGGUCGGGGAUAACUACUGGAAACGGUGGCUAAUACCGGAUGUGCCGAGAGGUGAAAGGCUUGCUGCCUGAAGAUGAGCUCGCGUCUGAUUAGCUAGUAGGUGUGGUAAGAGCGCACCUAGGCGACGAUCAGUAGCUGGUCUGAGAGGAUGAUCAGCCACACUGGGACUGAGACACGGCCCAGACUCCUACGGGAGGCAGCAGUGGGGAAUUUUCCGCAAUGGGCGAAAGCCUGACGGAGCAAUACCGCGUGAGGGAGGAAGGCUCUUGGGUUGUAAACCUCUUUUCUCAAGGAAUAAUUAUGAAGGUACUUGAGGAAUAAGCAUCGGCUAACUCCGUGCCAGCAGCCGCGGUAAUACGGAGGAUGCAAGCGUUAUCCGGAAUGAUUGGGCGUAAAGCGUCCGCAGGUGGCGAUGUAAGUCUGCUGUUAAAGAGUGAGGCUCAACCUCAUAAGAGCAGUGGAAACUACAUGGCUAGAGUGCGUUCGGGGUAGAGGGAAUUCCUGGUGUAGCGGUGAAAUGCGUAGAGAUCAGGAAGAACACCGGUGGCGAAGGCGCUCUACUAGGCCGCAACUGACACUGAGGGACGAAAGCUAGGGGAGCG